rnacentral:rRNA from 1 species
UACGUAGGGGGCUAGCGUUAUCCGGAAUUACUGGGCGUAAAGGGUGCGUAGGUGGUUUCUUAAGUCAGAGGUGAAAGGCUACGGCUCAACCGUAGUAAGCCUUUGAAACUGGGAAACUUGAGUGCAGGAGAGGAGAGUGGAAUUCCUAGUGUAGCGGUGAAAUGCGUAGAUAUUAGGAGGAACACCAGUUGCGAAGGCGUCUCUCUGGACUGUAACUGACACUGAGGCACGAAAGCGUGGGGAGCAAACAGG